GAUGAUUAAAGCUGUUGACAGUUUUAUUUCCCCCCACCCCCACGUUGUUUGGUCGAGAUGCAGAUGGAUGUCAGGCUACUGGAAAGUAAGUGACACUUGGUGGAGACUCUGAUGUGGAACCUGUGGCAGGGUAGGCCUUUGAUGGGUGAUGAGCCCAUGGUGGCACUCUGUGUUUCUGGGUUAGGGUGGGCCAUGCAAGAGUUUAAGGCCCUGAUGUGGAGCUUGACAUGGUGGGCUGUUUGAAGAUGGGAGGCCCAAGAUUUGCGGCAGUCACAAGGCAGACCACUGGAGGUUGAGAAAACAUCAGUCCCUGAUGUGGAGCUAUAGUAUGGUGGCUAUCAGGAGGGUAAGCAGCCCAAUCCAGUGUUUUCUCUAAUUCCCCUUUUAUCCUGUGUAUCGCACAUAGACUAUCUCAAUAAUUAUCAUUAUGUAACAUAUAACACAAAAUGAGUGUGUGUGCUUGGGGGGAGGAAUAGGAGAAUGGAUGGUGUCAGGCAGGCAGUGGAAGAUGGACUAAGCAAUGAUCCAUUUGGCAGCUUUCCAUGUAUUUCUUUGGGUGGUCUCCUCCUGAUUUCAGUAGGGUUGUCCAUGGUCUAAACAUAACUGCCUUUUGAUAAAAAUUGUAUUUAUAAGUAUCAGGAGUUGGGGGGGGGGUACAUUAUCUUACCACUCAUUGGAGACCCUAAACUUCUGUCUUUCUUGACCCCUCAGAGCAAGCUUCAGGAAUUUUGUUUAGAAAUGGUAAAGUUCACACAAACAUUCCAUCACUCAUUCAUGCAGGUAGCCAUUGCUGCG